rnacentral:rRNA from 1 species
CAGUCGCCGCGGGAAUACGUAGGUGGCAAACGUUGCCCGGAAUUAUUGGGCGUAAAGGGCUCGCAGGCGGUUUCUUAAGUCUGAUGUGAAAGCCCCCGGCUCAACCGGGGAGGGUCAUUGGAAACUGGGAAACUUGAGUGCAGAAGAGGAGAGUGGAAUUCCACGUGUAGCGGUGAAAUGCGUAGAGAUGUGGAGGAACACCAGUGGCGAAGGCGACUCUCUGGUCUGUAACUGACGCUGAGGAGCGAAAGCGUGGGGAGCGAACAGGAUUAGAUACCCCAGUAGUCCCUGUCUCUUAUAC